rnacentral:lncRNA from 10 species
GGAACCACUGUCCCACAGGGCUACCGCCUGGGGCAACCCGAGGCUGUCCUGGGGCGCUAGCGGGCUCCGGCCACCCCUCCCUUUCCUUCCCUCUGGGCCUCCAGUGCCUUCGGAUCAAAGUGGUCCGGGUAGCCCGGCCGGCCGUGGAUCCUUUCUUAAAAAACCCCUGCGUUCCCCCCAUGAAUUGAAGAGUGGAAUUGUUUGCUGCUCUUCCCCUGCUAGCAUGGCAGCUAGCAGAUUUUCCUUUAUUAUCCAUUCUUUCUACAAGCAGAGAGCAGCCAGAUCCUUUUGCAGGUUACAGGCUGACACAUCCAGUUUCUUCGAAAAAAACAUUUAAUAAGGACUUAUAAACAGAAGCUACGUUUGUGUCUCCAUGAUUCACCCCCAGGACCAGGGCUUAUAGACCACAGGGGAAGGGUGAUUCAGAAAAGAUGUGUAGGACAGUUGAAGUAUGAUAACAUCAAGGUUGUUUGACCUAAGGGCCGGAUUUACAGUAAGUGUUUGCACUUACACAAGGAGCAAUUGAUAAAUUGGGAAUCUCAGAGGUCUUCUGGGAGGCUCCAAAGCCAACACGGCCAAAACUGUGGAUUAGCAUCCAACAUGGAGUUGCUUUAGCCUCCAUAAGGACUUCUCCCAGUCUCUUCUGGGUUUCCCUUGCUUGCUUGAAAUCUGAUAUUCAGACCAAUUUUUGUGUUGGGUAAUAGCACUACUGGAGUGCUGGGUAACACCUCAGCACAUCCUCAGUCUCUCGCACCUCUGUGUCACUUGGCUCAUCUGAGGCCAUCUCCAGGUGAACCAAAUAUGUGAGGAUAUGAGAGACAGACUGUCCAUCACUUUUUCUUGGAGGCUGACACCUGCUUCAAAGUGUGUGUGUGUGUGUGUGUGUGUGUGUGUGUGUGUGUGUGCACUUGCAGUCAUAUAUGAUUUGCAGUGGCCAGUCUGUGGAUUUGGAUUUCAUUGUGGUGUGGAGAACGUUGUCUGUUUGCCAAGUGCAUAUGUGUGUUUGGGACUGUGUGUGCAUCCCUCAAGCCCUGCCCUUGUUCUCAG